GUCUUGUAAAUCCUUAAAGUCCUUGAAUUGGAAAAAAAAUUCCAGGACUGGAAAGUCCUUGAAAAUCAGUAGAAGUCCUUGAAACUGAAAGUCCUGGAAUUAAUUUCCUUAACUUCCAGCUGUGCCAACAUUAGUGAGUUUGAUUAAAAUUACGUAUAAUAUUUUUAUCAUAAUAUUUUAACAGGGAGCCUAACUCGCAAAGCGAUUUUCAGUAGGG